rnacentral:rRNA from 1 species
AGGCUUAUACUAUAUCCACUUACACCUGUGAACUGUUCUACUACUUGACGCAAGUCGAGUAUUUUUACAAACAAUGUGUAAUGAACGUCGUUUUAUUAUAACAAAAUAAAACUUUCAACAACGGAUCUCUUGGCUCUCGCAUCGAUGAAGAACGCAGCGAAUUGCGAUAAGUAAUGUGAAUUGCAGAAUUCAGUGAAUCAUCGAAUCUUUGAACGCAGCUUGCGCUCUCUGGUAUUCCGGAGAGCAUGCCUGUUUCAGUGUCAUGAAAUCUCAACCACUAGGGUUUCCUAAUGGAUUGGAUUUGGGCGUCUGCGAUUUCUGAUCGCUCGCCUUAAAAGAGUUAGCAAGUUUGACAUUAAUGUCUGGUGUAAUAAGUUUCACUGGGUCCAUUGUGUUGAAGCGUGCUUCUAAUCGUCCGCAAGGACAAUUACUUUGACUCUGGCCUGAAAUCAGGUAGGACUACCCGCUGA